AUGGUUGGACUCUGUAGCUGUGCGGUCGACGAAGGUUGCAGAUCCACUGCAGUCGGAUCUACGGUGGCAAGCGGAAGGAGUGCGAGCCGGUGGUCCGUGUGCGUAAGAUUUUUGGGGGUGUGCGCGCGAGGAGGAGAUUGGAGGUGGCAAGAUUGGAGCAGCGCGGUCGCCUUACUAUGGAUGUGCGUGGGUUUGGAAGCUGAAGGCGUUAUCGUCGAUCUCGGUUCUGGACGUUGGGUUGCUGUCGGAGGUCGAAGGUGUGAAGAACUGAGAAUUCGACGGCGAGCGAUGGUUGGUGGAGCGAAUCUGCUGUGA